GGAGUUUUGGCUCAGUGGUAGAGUGCUUGCCUAGCACGUAUGAGGCCCUGGGUUUGAUCCUCAGCACCA
rnacentral:tRNA from 1 species